rnacentral:rRNA from 1 species
UACGUAGGGGGCAAGCGUUGUUCGGAAUUACUGGGCGUAAAGAGCGCGCAGGCGGUCGUGCAAGUCGAGUGUGAAAGCCCCCGGCUCAACUGGGGAGGGUCAUUCGAUACUGAUCGACUCGAAGGCAGGAGAGGGAAGUGGAAUUCCCGGUGUAGUGGUGAAAUGCGUAGAUAUCGGGAGGAACACCAGUGGCGAAGGCGACUUCCUGGCCUGUUCUUGACGCUGAGGCGCGAAAGCUAGGGGAGCAAACGGG